GCAGAGACCACCUCGCUCCCGGGACUCGCCAGCGAGGGAUGCCGCCGGCCGCCGGGGGCCUUCUCCAGGACCAGGAGAGAAAUCCUCUCUCCGCUUCACGACGCGGCCACUCCCACCCCUGAGACGCCCACCUGGCGGACUCUGAGGGAGGAUUCGGCUGCGUCUAAUACCACCUCCACCCCUCAUCCCUCACAAUGCGCGGAAAACCACAGGCGGCUGUGCGCGCAGCGUCGGCUCAGCCACCGCAGCUCCUCCCCUGGGAUGAAAAAGCACUCUGACGUCUUGAAAGCUGGCAGCUCUCUGUUUGGAAAAUCUCUGCCCAGUGAAAAAAUGUACCGACAAGAUUACUAAGUAACACAGUCUUCUGGGAAUGCCUUAUCAAUGCCAGCUAUUUGAAGAGCACCCAAAGUCAAACUAGUGCUCCGCGCUGGCAGUCUGGAAAAGGCAGAUGUAUAAACCAAAAAGGAUGGAGUUCAGAGACCUUCCAUGUUGAUGAACAAGAACACAUUCACCUGCUGUAGGGGUAGGUGUACCCCAAAACUCCACUGAUACAGAAGCUUCUAUACUCAAGACCCUUCUAUACUCAAGACCCUGGAUCUUACCCUAUAUAUCUCUUCAUCUGGCUAUUUAUUUGCAUCUUUUAAUAUAUCCUUUGUAAUAAACUAGUAAUCUAGAAAGCAAACUUUUCCUAGCUCUGUAGGCCAUUCUAGUAAAUGAUUAAACCUGAGGAGGAGUUAUGGGAACCUUUGAUUUGUAGACAAGUUGGACAAAAGUGGUAUAUAUCCUAAUAUAACAUGGGAACCUGCCACUUAUGAUUGGCGUGUGAAAUUGGGGGAUGGGGAAGCAGUCUUGUGGGACUGAGCCCUUAGCCUGUGGGGUCUAAUGCUAUCUUCAGGUAAUAUCAGAACUGAGUUAAAUUAUAGGAUACCAGUCAGUGUCCAUUGGAGAACUGAAUUAUUGUGAGGAGAAACCCACACAUUUGGUGGCUAAAAGUAUUGAUGUGAGUAGUAGCAUAUAGGAGUUUUUUGCUAUAUACAUAUGUAGUGUAAGUUUAAAGUAAAAAGUUUUGUAUUGUCAGGAGUGACUUCUUUGCACCUAAAUAUCACUGCUAUAACUGCGUUACUAAGGAAUAGUUGCUUGCUUUUAUGUAUUUGGCACCUGCAGCUACUGUUCUAAAAAGUUUGCAUGUGUUAACCUAUUAAUUAAAUCUACAAAUGACUGGCUGUACCCAUGAAGUGAGUUAUUCUAAAGACAAUGGAACAUUUAAAUGGUUUAGAAAUUUUUUGAUUAAAAAUACAUUAAUAA
rnacentral:lncRNA from 1 species